rnacentral:rRNA from 1 species
UGAGGAAUAUUGGUCAAUGGGCGGAAGCCUGAACCAGCCAUGCCGCGUGAAGGACUAAGGCCCUACGGGUCGUAAACUUCUUUAGACGCAGAGCAAUAAGGUCCACGCGUGGACCGAUGAGAGUAUGCGUAGAAUAAGCAUCGGCUAACUCCGUGCCAGCAGCCGCGGUAAUACGGAGGAUGCGAGCGUUAUCCGGAUUUAUUGGGUUUAAAGGGUGCGUAGGCGGUUUGUCAAGUCAGCGGUCAAACUGCGGGGCUUAACCUCGUAUUGCCGUUGAAACUGGCUGACUAGCGUGGCGUCGAGGUGUGCGGAAUGCGUUGUGUAGCGGUGAAAUGCAUAGAUAUGACGCAGAACUCCGAUUGCGAAGGCAGCACACCGGGCGCCUACGGACGCUGAGGCACGAAAGACGUGGGUAUCGAACAGGAUUAGAUACCCUGGUAGU